rnacentral:rRNA from 1 species
ACCAUAGAACAUUGGAACCACCUGAUCCCAUCCCGAACUCAGCAGUGAAACGAUGUAUCGCCGAUGGUAGUGUGGGGUUUCCCCAUGUGAGCUGUCUAUUAUAAACAUAU